rnacentral:rRNA from 1 species
GAUGAACGCUGGCGGCGUGCUUAACACAUGCAAGUCGAACGGAAAGGCUCCUGCUUGCAGGGGUACUCGAGUGGCGAACGGGUGAGUAACACGUGGGUGAUCUGCCCUGCACUUCGGGAUAAGCCUGGGAAACUGGGUCUAAUACCGGAUAGGACGAUGGCUUGGAUGCCAUUGUGGACAGUUUUUCGGUGUGGGAUGAGCUCGCGGCCUAUCAGCUUGUUGGUGGGGUAAUGGCCUACCAAGGCGUCGACGGGUAGCCGGCCUGAGAGGGUGUACGGCCACAUUGGGACUGAGAUACGGCCCAGACUCCUACGGGAGGCAGCAGGGGGGAGUAUUGCACAAUGGGCGCAAGCCUGAUGCAGCGACGCCGCGUGGGGGAUGACGGCCUUCGGGUGGUAAACUGCUUUCGUCAGGGACGAAGCGAAAGUGACGGUACCUGGAGAAGAAGCACCGGCUAACUACGUG